ACAACCCCCCAUAACAGAUUCAGAGCCAUGCGGGUACUUUCAUCGUCGGUGAACGCAAAGAUAGGAGGAUUUGGGCGGUUGCGUGAUAGAAGUGAUGCCAUGUGUCCAUGCUUCGUGUACACGAAGAUGGCAUCCACACCAAGAAUCAAGUGGCAAGAAGAAUAUGAAGUACCCAUUUCAACGGCACAAUUACAUAUUUGCUCAGUGAUGCAUUCUGGCAAUUCUGCUCCAAGUUGGUUAUGGUUGAGAAGAUUCUGCUUGUUCUCCUCCCGAUUCCAUGAUUCCAUUCUACUGCUAGUCAUAUCCAAGACUGCCAAAGCUUUACGCCCAUAUGACCCAAUAGCUGAUUCACCGGACAACAUCAAAGCAUCAGCAUACUGUCGAACUGCUUCAGAAACAUCUGCUACCUAUUAAAUAAAAGCAAAUAUUUGUGAGGUUGUUGAAGAAACAUCAAUCCAGCCAGUUCUUCCAGAUCUUCGGAAUGGGUUUUGAGGAGUAAAUUUGGGACUUUGGAAGGAUCAAUAUAUUGUACAAUCUAUCCAUAUAUUGAAAAAUGUACGCACUGAUUCUGGAGGUAAUAUAUCAUUUCACCAAUUUACAAAAAAAAUAAAAAAAAAAUUAUUAAACAUGAGUUUUGACAACUGUUGACAUUGUUAGCCUAGGAAUGCUUUCAGAAAAUCAACGCCAUACAUGUAAAGAAAUAAUUGCAGAGUGCUAAAUUUAUUCUCCGUGAUCUUCGUUAAAUGA